AAGAGAAUCUGAUGGCCAGAAAUUGACAUAAAUGAUAGCGGCAUGUUUAUUUAGCUUUUUUGUUAAUUAUGCAUGCAGUUUUGACAGGACAUUUCAAAAACUGCAUCUGCAUCUGAUUAUGGUCUAGUUAGAGCACAAAUAAAAGUCAUAAAAACAUAUGAAAUCCUUUUCCUCACAUCUACAACAGCAUGGAAAUGAGAAAUAUAGGCCUACUCAAACUGACUGGAUGUCAAAAGUAGCCGGAUGUGAAUCUUGUAAUGUUACAUUAAUGUUUGUCAACAGUUUUAUAGCCUUUUGCACGGUUAGAUUUGAGUUAUCUCACAAUGGACUAUAAACAGGACGUUUAAACCUUUAUAGCAGGAAGUCUUGUUUGCAGUUGACAGAAACACACUGGCAGGGCCUCCAACUGAUCCUUAGCAAUCCUUGCAUGUGACAUUUAGGAAAGAAAUGAUGAUCACAAAUGAAGAAACUUUGCGUCAUUUCAGAGCAGAUUUGGAAUGCCAUGAAGGGUUAUGGAGGCGUGAGCUCACCAGAUCACAGCCCUCCCAUUUUCCGUUUUGUCGUGUCUAACCCAGCCUCCCCCCGCCGCGCUCCAGUAUGAAGUAAUGGGAUGCUAGUGAAGACGCUGCCUUUGAUGUCUGGAAGCAGAUGGGCAGAGGAGGAGAGCUGCGUGCUGACAGGUAUCUCUCGUCGUGUCUGAAGUCCAGAGGGACACACUGAAGGAGACUGUGCUGAUUGUUCUGGCAAGUGUAUUGACUCCUAACCUCACUUCACCUGAAAUUAAACCCUGCCAACGAGACAUUUAGAUGCUGAUGCUAGCCAAAUUAGCCUCCUACAGACACUGGCGCUCAUUUAUGGCCUUUCUGCUGAUUAUAAUUUCCCCCACUGCCUUCACUCACGUAUGCCCAUUUGUCACAGAUUUGCUUCUUGUAUGGUUUGGCAUUCACGUCCAGGAGUUUCCUUGAGUCUGAAAUAAAAAAGUUUCUUCCCC